GUGCUCACUUCGGCAGCACAUAUACUAAAAUUGGAACGAUACAGAGAAGAUUAGCAUGGCCCCUGUGCAAGGAUAACAUAUCGAUAACAUUUAUUA
rnacentral:snRNA from 1 species